rnacentral:rRNA from 1 species
UACGAAGGGGGCUAGCGUUGUUCGGAAUUACUGGGCGUAAAGGGCGCGUAGGCGGUGUGUCAAGUCAGGCGUGAAAGCCCCGGGCUCAACCUGGGAACAGCGCUUGAGACUGGCACGCUCGAGUUCGGGAGAGGAUGGUGGAAUUCCCAGUGUAGAGGUGAAAUGCGUAGAUAUCAGGAGGAAUACCGGUGGCGAAAGCGACUCUCUGGACGGCAACUGACGCUGAGGCACGAAAGCGUGGGGAGCAAACAGG